GGAGGUGCUGGGGUUGUCGCUGACUUUUCAAAGGGUCGUGCACACCUCGGUGCUCUCGUACAAAAUCCAUCUCACCCCUUUKGKGMWUMMCCSSGGGGGRMCCCYUUUKGGYUAGUYYKRAAGGGGGUUUYCMSKYUUUUAUACAAACACCCUUUUAAUGCAAUAUGUAGAAUGUCUUACUNUUUGCGAUCACACGCAAUUAAUACAACUUUCAACAACGGAUCUCUUGGCUCUCGCAUCGAUGAAGAACGCAGCGAAAUGCGAUACGUAAUGUGAAUUGCAGAAUUCAGUGAAUCAUCGAAUCUUUGAACGCACCUUGCGCCCUUUGGCAUUCCGAAGGGCACACCCGUUUGAGUGUCGUGACAUUCUCAAACCUUCUUGGUUUCUUGACCGGGAAGGCUUUGGACUUUGGAGGCUUUUGCUGGCAUUCCCUUGUUGAAGCCAGCUCCUCUGAAAUGAAUUAGUGGGGUCUGCUUUGCCAAUCCCUGACGUGAUAAGAUAUUUCUACGUCUUGGGUUUCGCAUCCGCAUCCCGCUUCUAACCGUCUCAUUAGAAGACAAUGGCCGAGUGAUUGCCACUCGACCCACGAACCUGACCUCA
rnacentral:rRNA from 1 species